CUACGGGGCGCAGCAGUAGGGAAUCUUGUGCAAUGGGCGAAAGCCUGACACAGCCAUGCCGCGUGUGUGAAGAAGGCCUUCGGGUUGUAAAGCACUUUCAGUAGGGACGAAAUAGCGGGACCAAUAAUCCCGUGAAAUGACACUACCUACAGAAGAAGCACCGGCUAACUCCGUGCCAGCAGCCGCGGUAAUACGGAGGGUGCAAACGUUAAUCGGAAUUACUGGGCGUAAAGCGCGCGUAGGUGGUUUGUUAAGUGGGAUGUGAAAGCCCCGGGCUUAACCUGGGAACUGCAUUCCAAACUGAUGAACUAGAGUACGAUAGAGGGGGGUAGAAUUCAGAGUGUAGCGGUGAAAUGCGUAGAUAUUCUGAGGAAUACCGGUGGCGAAGGCGGCCCCCUGGAUUGAUACUGACGCUGAGGCGCGAAAGCGUGGGGAGCAAACAGGAUUAGAUACCCUUGUAGUC
rnacentral:rRNA from 1 species